AAAGUCUCCACCUGGAUUUAACUAUAAGUAAAUGAUGUGGGGUUGGUUGAUGCUGCAGUUGGUCUGCAGGUCUUGGUUCAGCAACAGUAUGUGCUGAAAGAAUGAGGUCAGCUGACCUCAAUACCUGAAUAUACUGAAUAUAGACCAGGUUAUUCCAUCAAUGGAUUUUUUCUUCCCUGAUGGCACGACCAUAUUCCAAGAUAACAAUGUCAGGAUUCAUGGGGCUGGAAUUGUGAAAGAGUUCAGGGUUCAGGGAGCAUGAGAUCAUCAUUUUCACACAUGGAUUGAGAGAGUUCACCACAGAGUCCAGACCUCAACCUCAUUGAAAAUCUUUGGGAUGUGCUGGAUGGAGAAGUGCUGCUUUGUGCAGUGGUCAGACUCUACCAUCAUCAAUGAUGCUGCAAGAUCUUGGUGAAAUUUUAAUUUAAAAAUAUUAAUAAUUUUUUUUUUUUUUUUUGGUCUGGCAAUGUAUUUAGGACGGUUUUUAUCAUGUUCAGCUGGUGCAACUUGCUUCUAAUCCUUUAACAGUACCUCUGAUGUGUUUAACUUUACUAAAUUUUAUAUACAUUUUAUCUUACAAAAUGAUCUAUAAAUGCUGAUAUAUUUGCGGAUGCACCAAAAUAAUAUUUAUGUCUAAAACUGAGCAAAAUGAAACAUUUGACUGAACUCAGAAUAUUGCAGGCUUUCAUAAAUAUUGUCCCUGUAAAUGUUGCCUCUUUUUGUUUUGCUUUUUUUUCAGAGAAUAAAAGCAGUUACAAAGCUGCAAUUACUACAAUUUAAAAUUUAUAAUUAAUAUAGUAAAAUACUUAUUUAAAAAAUAUUAUUUUUUUAUAUCCCAUCAUACAUUCAUACAAAGCACAAUGUUGUUAUAUAAAUUCUAAAUCAUUAGGACUAUUCACCUCUUUAGUUGCCAAAUUUUCUGAACAUCCCUUGAAAAUGCAAAAACUACAAAUAGAAAAACAGAAUUUCAGAGAGCUGAGAAUAAAAUCUGUCAUAGUGUCACAAAAAAUUAGAUUUAAUAAGUUUUGAUGCUCUCUAUACAGUAUUGUUCUAAUACUUAUUAAUUCAGUGUAAUAAAAAAAAGCCCAUCGAUGAAAAGCUGUAGUUCUCUGUUACUGUAUGUUCUCUCUGUUUAAUCCUGUGGAUUUGUGUCUUGUAAAUCUGACUAAACAUCAAGAACUGUUUUUGUCAUUUCUGCCUCUUUAACUGGGUAACAUGUUCGAUCCUGUUUCUGAUGAAGCCUGUAGCUCGCCUACUGCUUUGUGACGAGCCAAAUCCCGAGUACACUGUAGUGCACAAUGGUUCAUUUUCACCAGUGGAUUUCCUGUUAAUGUCUGUAGCACUUCUGCAGUUCUCUGCUCCUUUGCUUCUGUUCUUCUUUGUACAGUACUUUUAAUUUUGUGCUUGGAAACAAAUGUUU